UUUCCGUAGGUGAGCCUGCGGAAGGAUCAUUCAUAAUAAGUGUUUUAUGGCACUUUUUUAAAUCCAUAUCCACCUUGUGUGCAAUGUCAGGGUUGAUUUUUCUCUCGAGAGGAUCAACCCCAAACAUCAACUAUAUCUCAACUCUUUGUCUGAAAAAUAUUAUGAAUAAAACAAUUCAAAAUACAACUUUCAGCAACGGAUCUCUUGGCUCUC
rnacentral:misc_RNA from 1 species